rnacentral:rRNA from 1 species
ACCUGCGGAGGGAUCAUUACCGAGUUUACAACUCCCAAACCCCUGUGAACAUACCUAUACGUUGCCUCGGCGGAUCAGCCCGCGCCCCGUAAAAAGGGACGGCCCGCCCGAGGACCCCUAAACUCUGUUUUUAGUGGAACUUCUGAGUAAAACAAACAAAUAAAUCAAAACUUUCAACAACGGAUCUCUUGGUUCUGGCAUCGAUGAAGAACGCAGCAAAAUGCGAUAAGUAAUGUGAAUUGCAGAAUUCAGUGAAUCAUCGAAUCUUUGAACGCACAUUGCGCCCGCCAGUAUUCUGGCGGGCAUGCCUGUUCGAGCGUCAUUUCAACCCUCAAGCUCAGCUUGGUGUUGGGACUCGCGGUAACCCGCGUUCCCCAAAUCGAUUGGCGGUCACGUCGAGCUUCCAUAGCGUAGUAAUCAUACACCUCGUUACUGGUAAUCGUCGCGGCCACGCCGUAAAACCCCAACUUCUGAAUGUGACC